GACGAACGCUGGCGGCGUGCCUAAUACAUGCAAGUAGAACGCUGAAGCGAGGAGCUUGCUCUUCUUGGAUGAGUUGCGAACGGGUGAGUAACGCGUAGGUAACCUGCCUUGUAGCGGGGGAUAACUAUUGGAAACGAUAGCUAAUACCGCAUAACAAUGGAUGACACAUGUCAUUUAUUUGAAAGGGGCAAUUGCUCCACUACAAGAUGGACCUGCGUUGUAUUAGCUAGUAGGUGAGGUAAUGGCUCACCUAGGCGACGAUACAUAGCCGACCUGAGAGGGUGAUCGGCCACACUGGGACUGAGACACGGCCCAGACUCCUACGGGAGGCAGCAGGAGGGAAUCUUCGGCAAGGGGGGCAACCCUGACCGAGCAACGCCGCGUGAGUGAAGAAGGGUUUCGGAUCGUAAAGCUCGGUUGUAAGUCAAGAACGGGUGUGAGAGUGGAAAGUUCACACUGUGACGGUAGCUUACCAGAAAGGGACGGCUAACUACGUG
rnacentral:rRNA from 1 species